UACGUAGGGUGCGAGCGUUAAUCGGAAUUACUGGGCGUAAAGCGUGCGCAGGCGGUUCGUUAAGUUCGUUGUGAAAGCCCCGGGCUCAACCUGGGAAUGGCAAUGGAAACUGGCGGGCUUGGAGUGCGGCAGAGGGGGGUGGAAUUCCGCGUGUAGCAGUGAAAUGCGUAGAGAUGCGGAGGAACACCGAUGGCGAAGGCAGCCCCCUGGGCCGACACUGACGCUCAGGCACGAAAGCGUGGGGAGCAAACAGG
rnacentral:rRNA from 1 species